rnacentral:hammerhead_ribozyme from 1 species
GCACGGCUGAAGAGUCCUAUAUUAGGACGAAACGGCCGUCCAAUGC